rnacentral:rRNA from 1 species
CCUACGGGGGGCAGCAGUGGGGAAUAUUGGGCAAUGGGCGCAAGCCUGACCCAGCAACGCCGCGUGAAGGAAGAAGGCUUUCGGGUUGUAAACUUCUUUUGUCAGGGACGAAGCAAGUGACGGUACCUGACGAAUAAGCCACGGCUAACUACGUGCCAGCAGCCGCGGUAAUACGUAGGUGGCAAGCGUUAUCCGGAUUUACUGGGUGUAAAGGGCGUGUAGGCGGGACUGCAAGUCAGAUGUGAAAACCACGGGCUCAACCUGUGGCCUGCAUUUGAAACUGUAGUUCUUGAGUACUGGAGAGGCAGACGGAAUUCCUAGUGUAGCGGGGAAAUGCGUAGAUAUUAGGAGGGACAGCAGGGGCGGAGGCGGUCUGCUGGACAGCAACUGACGCUGGGGCGCGAAAGCGGGGGGAGCAAACAGGGUUAGGUACCCCAGUAGUC